rnacentral:lncRNA from 1 species
AACAUGUGUGAUAAGGUGAUUAGAUUAUGUGCUGACUGCAAUAGGCAGUGUUAUGUGUUACGUUAUGAUAUACUAAUCAGUAAAAUGAUUUGAUUAAUGAUAGGUCGUGAUAGAAACGAUAAAUCUAAGUUGCGUAAGUGUAAGCAGCGCAUCAGGCAAGUAUCCUAACUUUGCAUUUUCUUUAUGCAAUGGACAAGUGUAAGAAUGUUUCAAAAUUAUAUUAUUAUUAUUAAUGUACAGAUUGUUAAAGCUAUAUUAUAUAAGCCCAUUGAUUAUCAACAUGUUAGUAUAUGAUAAUUCGGAUAAAUAUAUUCUGUUCGUUAAUUUCUAUAAAUGAUUAUACAAGUGUCCCCACUUGGAUAAUCAUUGUAUUUAAUCGCAUGUUGAUACACCUUUGAUAUACAUAUAUGUUGAAUUAUAUAAGACCUUUGUUAUGAAAACCCG